GAAAUGUUAGUAAACUAUUACAUUAUCUCGUCAAGAUAGAAUUGCGGAUGGAAGUCCCGCACAUUUCU
rnacentral:tRNA from 1 species